rnacentral:rRNA from 1 species
AACGAACGCUGGCGGUAGGCUUAACACAUGCAAGUCGAGCGCCCCGCAAGUGUAGCGGCAGCCGGGUGAGUAACGCGUGGGAACGUACCUUUUGGUUCGGAACAACUCCGGGAAACUGGAGCUAAUACCGGAUAAGCCCUAACGGGGAAAGAUUUAUCGCCGAAAGAUCGGCCCGGGUCUGAUUAGCUCGUUGGGGAGGUAACGGCUCACCAAGGCGACGAUAAGUAGCUGGUCUGAGAGGAUGAUCAGCCACACUGGGACUGAGACACGGCACAGACUCAUGCAGGAGGCAGAAAUGGGGAAUAUUGUCCAACGGGAGCAAGACUGAUCCAGCCAUGCCGCGUGAGUGAUGAAGGCCUUAAGGUUGUAAAGCUCUUUUGUCCGGGAAGAUAAUGACUGUACCGGAAGAAUAAGCCCCGGCUAACUUCGUG